GCCAGCUUGCUGGUGGAUUAGUGGCGAACGGGUGAGUAACACGUGAGUAACCUGCCCUUAACUCUGGGAUAAGCCUGGGAAACUGGGUCUAAUACCGGAUAUGACUCCUCAUCGCAUGGUGGGGGGUGGAAAGCUUUAUUGUGGUUUUGGAUGGACUCGCGGCCUAUCAGCUUGUUGGUGAGGUAAUGGCUCACCAAGGCGACGACGGGUAGCCGGCCUGAGAGGGUGACCGGCCACACUGGGACUGAGACACGGCCCAGACUCCUACGGGAGGCAGCAGUGGGGAAUAUUGCACAAUGGGCGAAAGCCUGAUGCAGCGACGCCGCGUGAGGGAUGACGGCCUUCGGGUUGUAAACCUCUUUCAGUAGGGAAGAAGCGAAAGUGACGGUACCUGCAGAAGAAGCGCCGGCUAACUACGUGCCAGCAGCCGCGGUAAUACGUAGGGCGCAAGCGUUAUCCGGAAUUAUUGGGCGUAAAGAGCUCGUAGGCGGUUUGUCGCGUCUGCCGUGAAAGUCCGGGGCUCAACUCCGGAUCUGCGGUGGGUACGGGCAGACUAGAGUGAUGUAGGGGAGACUGGAAUUCCUGGUGUAGCGGUGAAAUGCGCAGAUAUCAGGAGGAACACCGAUGGCGAAGGCAGGUCUCUGGGCAUUAACUGACGCUGAGGAGCGAAAGCAUGGGGAGCGAACAGGAUUA
rnacentral:rRNA from 1 species